rnacentral:rRNA from 1 species
AGGGCAGCCAAGUCGUGAGGCGGAGCUAAUCCCUUAAAGCCAUUCUCAGUUCGGAUUGUAGGCUGAAACUCGCCUACAUGAAGCUGGAGUUACUAGUAAUCGCAGAUCAGAGUGCUGCGGUGAAUGCGUUCCCGGGUCUUGUACACACCGCCCGUCACACCACGGAAGUUGGGGGCGCCCGAAGCCACUUAGCUAACCCUUUUGGGAAGCGAGUGUCGAAGGUGAAAUCAAUAACUGGGGUGAAGUCGUAACAAGGUAGC